rnacentral:tRNA from 1 species
GGCCUCGUAGCUCAGGGGAUAGAGCAGCGGUUUCCUAAACCGCGUGUCGGGGGUUCAAGUCCCUCCGGGGCCGCCA